rnacentral:SRP_RNA from 1 species
CCCAGGCGUGGUGGCACACGUGUGUAGUCCCAGCAAUGUGGGAGGCUGAGGUGGGAGGAUCCAGGAGUUCUGGGCUGCAGUGCGCUAUGCCGAGGGGGUGUCUGCACUAAGUUUGGCAUCAAUACGGUGAUCUCCUAGGAGCAAAGGACCACCUUGUUGCCAAAGCAGGGGUAAACUGGCCCAGGUCAUGAAGAGAGCAGGUCAAAACUCCCGUGCUGGUGAGAAAUAGUGCUUGAAAGGCCGCGCCUGUUCUGUCCCAGUUUCUCUGGCUACGCCCUCCUCAU